UUCUCUUUUGCAGAAUUUGAACCACAAAAAUAUUGUGAAAUAUCUUGGAUCCUUAAAGACUAAGAGUCACCUCCACAUAAUUCUUGAGGGGGAAGAAAUUUUACACUACUGUUGAUACUUUGACUCAACGAGAGCCUUAUUCAAUGCUUGCUACAAUGUUCAGUGGUUGGCAUACUGUGUGUCAGGAUCCUGAAAUGGGAUUUGUAUUUGUUGAUAGGGAUGGAAAACAUUUCCGACACAUACUUAAUUGGUUAAGGGAUGGUGUUGUUCCUACAUUAAAAGACUCUCAAUUUGCCGAGCUUUUGAGGGAGGCAGAAUACUACCAGCUACCGG